GGUUAAGCGACUAAGCGUACACGGUGGAUGCCUAGGCAGUCAGAGGCGAUGAAGGGCGUGCUAAUCUGCGAUAAGCGUCGGUAAGCUGAUAUGAAGCGUUAUACCCGACGAUACCCGAAUGGGGAAACCCAGUGUGUUUCGACACACUAUCAUUAUGUGAAUACAUAGCGUAAUGAGGCGAACCGGGGGAACUGAAACAUCUCAGUACCCCGAGGAAAAGAAAUCAACCGAGAUUCCCCCAGUAGCGGCGAGCGAACGGGGAAGAGCCCAGAACCUGAAUCAGUUUGUGUGUUAGUGGAAGCGUCUGGAAAGUCGCACAGUAAAGGGUGAUAGUCCCGUACACAAAAAUGCACAAGUUGUGAGUUCGAUGAGUAGGGCGGGACACGUGACAUCCUGUCUGAAUAUGGGGGGACCAUCCUCCAAGGCUAAAUACUCCUGACUGACCGAUAGUGAACCAGUACCGUGAGGGAAAGGCGAAAAGAACCCCGGCGAGGGGAGUGAAAUAGAACCUGAAACCGUGUACGUACAAGCAGUGGGAGCACCCUUUGGGGUGUGACUGCGUACCUUUUGUAUAAUGGGUCAGCGACUUAUAUUCUGUAGCAAGGUUAACCGAAUAGGGGAGCCGCAGGGAAACCGAGUCUUAACUGGGCGUUAAGUUGCAGGGUAUAGACCCGAAACCCGGUGAUCUAGCCAUGGGCAGGUUGAAGGUUGGGUAACACUAACUGGAGGACCGAACCGACUAAUGUUGAAAAAUUAGCGGAUGACUUGUGGCUGGGGGUGAAAGGCCAAUCAAACCGGGAGAUAGCUGGUUCUCCCCGAAAGCUAUUUAGGUAGCGCCUCGUGAAUUCAUCUUCGGGGGUAGAGCACUGUUUCGGCUAGGGGGUCAUCCCGACUUACCAACCCGAUGCAAACUACGAAUACCGAAGAAUGUUAUCACGGGAGACACACGGCGGGUGCUAACGUUCGUCGUGAAGAGGGAAACAACCCAGACCGCCAGCUAAGGUCCCAAAGUCAUGGUUAAGUGGGAAACGAUGUGGGAAGGCAUAGACAGCCAGGAUGUUGGCUUAGAAGCAGCCAUCAUUUAAAGAAAGCGUAAUAGCUCACUGGUCGAGUCGGCCUGCGCGGAAGAUGUAACGGGGCUAAACCAUGCACCGAAGCUGCGGCAGCAACACUUAGUGUUGUUGGGUAGGGGAGCGUUCUGUAAGCCUGCGAAGGUGGCCUGUGAGGGUUGCUGGAGGUAUCAGAAGUGCGAAUGCUGACAUAAGUAACGAUAAUGCGGGUGAAAAACCCGCACGCCGGAAGACCAAGGGUUCCUGUCCAACGUUAAUCGGGGCAGGGUGAGUCGACCCCUAAGGCGAGGCUGAAAAGCGUAGUCGAUGGGAAACAGGUUAAUAUUCCUGUACUGGGUGUUACUGCGAAGGGGGGACGGAGAAAGCUAGGUUAUCCGGGCGACGGUUGUCCCGGUUUAAGCGUGAAGGUGGGUGACUUUGGUAAAUCCGGGUCAUCGUUAACACUGAGGCGUGAUGACGAGUCACUACGGUGAUGAAGUAACUGAUGCUACGCUUCCAGGAAAAGCCUCUAAGCUCCAGGUAACACCGAAUCGUACCCCAAACCGACACAGGUGGUCAGGUAGAGAAUACUCAGGCGCUUGAGAGAACUCGGGUGAAGGAACUAGGCAAAAUGGUGCCGUAACUUCGGGAGAAGGCACGCUGAUGGUAGGUGAAGUGACUUGCUCACGGAGCUGAAAUCAGUCGAAGAUACCAGCUGGCUGCAACUGUUUAAUAAAAACACAGCACUGUGCAAACACGAAAGUGGACGUAUACGGUGUGACGCCUGCCCGGUGCCGGAAGGUUAAUUGAUGGGGUCAGCCGCAAGGCGAAGCUCUUGAUCGAAGCCCCGGUAAACGGCGGCCGUAACUAUAACGGUCCUAAGGUAGCGAAAUUCCUUGUCGGGUAAGUUCCGACCUGCACGAAUGGCGUAAUGAUGGCCAGGCUGUCUCCACCCGAGACUCAGUGAAAUUGAACUCGCUGUGAAGAUGCAGUGUACCCGCGGCAAGACGGAAAGACCCCGUGAACCUUUACUAUAGCUUGACACUGAACCUUGAGCCUUGAUGUGUAGGAUAGGUGGGAGGCUUUGAAGUGUGGACGCCAGUCUGCAUGGAGCCAACCUUGAAAUACCACCCUUUAAUGUUUGAUGUUCUAACGUAGACCCGUAAUCCGGGUUGCGGACAGUGUCUGGUGGGUAGUUUGACUGGGGCGGUCUCCUCCCAAAGCGUAACGGAGGAGCACGAAGGUUAGCUAAUCCUGGUCGGACAUCAGGAGGUUAGUGCAAAGGCAUAAGCUAGCUUGACUGCGAGAGUGACAGCUCGAGCAGGUGCGAAAGCAGGUCUUAGUGAUCCGGUGGUUCUGAAUGGAAGGGCCAUCGCUCAACGGAUAAAAGGUACUCCGGGGAUAACAGGCUGAUACCGCCCAAGAGUUCAUAUCGACGGCGGUGUUUGGCACCUCGAUGUCGGCUCAUCACAUCCUGGGGCUGAAGUAGGUCCCAAGGGUAUGGCUGUUCGCCAUUUAAAGUGGUACGCGAGCUGGGUUUAGAACGUCGUGAGACAGUUCGGUCCCUAUCUGCCGUGGGCGUUGGAAGAUUGAGAGGGGUUGCUCCUAGUACGAGAGGACCGGAGUGAACGCACCACUGGUGUACGGGUUGUGAUGCCAAUUGCAUUGCCCGGUAGCUAAGUGCGGAAGAGAUAACCGCUGAAAGCAUCUAAGCGGGAAACUUGCCUCGAGAUGAGUCUUCCCUGGACACUUGAUGUCCCUGAAGGGCCGUUGAAGACGACGACGUAGAUAGGCUGGGUGUGUAAGCGUAGCGAUACGUUGAGCUAACCAGUACUAAUGACCCGAGAGGCUUAACCUU
rnacentral:rRNA from 1 species